rnacentral:rRNA from 1 species
GGGAGAGUAGGGGGCGGUGGCCGGGGGAAUAGGGAGGGUGAAAGGGUGGUCGGGAAAGAUUGGGCGGGAAUGGCUCGGAGGAGGCUGGUAGGAGUGGCUGUGAAGACGGGGGCUCAGCUGCUGGGCUGCAGCCGAUACGGGCAAGCUAGAAUUCGGUAGGGGAGACUGGAAUUCCUGGUGUAGCGGUGAAAUGCGCAGAUAUCAGGAGGAACACCGGUGGCGAAGGCGGGUCUCUGGGCCGAAAUUGACGCUGAGGAGCGAAAGCGUGGGGAGCGAACAGGAUUAGAUACCCUGGUAGUC